CUUUCCGGUCCACGAAUUGAACCAUUUCGAUGAUUAUUGGAUGGGAUGAAGUCAUCGCUUGAUUGAAAAAUUUUUGUUGCAUCAGUCGAGCGAUGAGGUUGGAAAUUUUUAAACUUUCCAUGUUUCCUGUAUCAAAGGAGGCUCAAAUUAGACGUCUGUAUACCAAAUUCCAUUCUUAUUGACUGCAGUGGUACGUAGGCCAUCUUUGGUACUCAGGUACUUUAAUACUCGGUAACCAUACGAAACGUACGUAUCUGGACGUCUGCUGGCACAAAGCAAAGUGAGUUUAGUUUUUGAAGCUGUCGGAUGUGCUGGAGCGGUGUAGCGCGCUGAGUUACAUGCAUGACUCUGCGUACGUCGAAGGAUGACUUGAAAGAUCUUACUACGGGAUUGUCAGCCGAGAUGAACGCCGCUCAAGAGAUCGUUUCAGGAUCGGCAAGAGAUGCUGUAGAACCCUGCCAAGAAAUCUCGUAUAAUAAGCCCUUAAAAAUGGGCAUUAAAAAAAUACCUGCAGUGGAUCAGAAAUGAAAGUGGAUGGACCACUUUGGGACAAAUUGGUUGAAGAAAACUUUACUUUCUUACCAUUGCACUGAUAAGAGAUAUCUUUGGGAGAAUUCGAAUACUCAAAGGAUAUAUCUAGUGGUAGUGAACUAUACCAUAAUUCCUCUCAAUAAUGAUCUCUUAAAAGGUACUUCAGGUACUUCACUUCACUUCAGGUAAUCACUUCAGUGCCCGGAAUAGCCAUGAAAUUUGGGUAUGGAAUUUAGUUUACAUGUCUGCAGACGAUAAACGUCAAGGAGCCAUCGUUUGGGAUUUAUUAAAUAUAAAAGUAAUGAUCCGCUCGUGACGGCCAUCUCGAAUGAUAAUUUAUUUAUCGUGGAUUGGUCCAUCGGCCGAUCAAGGAUCGUGGCUAUCGAGAAGCGAUUCGUCUCAAUCAUGUCACGGGCAUCGUACGUUACGUCGGCAACAUCCUGUGGACCAUUAAAAACCACUCCCUCCGUAUCCUUAAGGAUUCUUAUUCACUCUUUCAUAAUGGCAUCCCGUAAUUCUCUCUCUGUCGUUUAUUCCUUGCACUAACCUACUCACCAGUCGACCCCAUGGUGCCGACCUACCCCAUGGGUUGAUCAAUCUCGGUCUGUCCUGUACAUAAUCGAAUUGAUUUGACCUCUUUGCCACUUUGUACCACGUGGAGGUUACAUACUCAGAGCACGUGUUACAUUCCACAUAUGACACAAGAAUGAUGUUUCAAGUGUAUCCGGCGAUGAUGAUUCAGUUUAUCAUGCUUCGUGACUACCGUAUCGUUUUUGGCCUAGUUUCUCUACUGAUUAUUUUUUUAAUGACUGCUGUGGCGUGUCGAGCCGGUUUUGCUCUCAAGGGCAAUUAAAGGAUCGGCAUCGAAAACUCCAUUUUGUCGCUUCCGAAAUGUCAUCCUGAGGAAGUGCUAUGGGGACUAUUGUAAGUGGAUUCACUAUACUAAUCGGGCACACAGUACGUCGUAAGUCAAUUGACAGUUGACACGACCCAGGACGUGCCUUUUCCGUUGUGGAAGUUUCGUUGGGCACUCCCAUGGCAUAGAAGUGCGUUCAAUCGGGGAUCGAUUCGAUGCGCACGGAUCAAAUCGAUACCGUUGUUGAUCAGUUUGAUUUGAAAAAGGUACAUUUUAUAUAUCCUAUACAUCAAAAGGAAUAUGGAGACACCACGUGAGGUCUUUUUCAAUCCCCUGUAAUAUAAUUUUACCAAGAAAAUCUCAUUGCUCCAUGAAAUAAAUGCAGGGGCCUUAAGUAUCAACCUUUCUUGCUUUGGUUUCGUAUUAGCCCAAAAUACAAGACAGUCCCAUAACAAUGGAGCAUCAUAUAUCACUGCAAGUUCUCUUUAAGAGUUCUGGCAUUGCCCUCGAAAAGCAAUGGAGCCGUUCAGGACGUGAAACAAGUAUCUUUACAUACGGAGUUUCAUGGUGAGACUGUUCCAGGCUUAUUUUACCCACGUCAAUAAGAAAUAGUGAUAUUAUAUAAAAAAUGUUGAGACUCAACACUCAGUAGUGCCAUACAAAUAAAAUAUACUUUAUUCCAACAAUCUGAUUAGGCAGGACCCCUCUAUUCAGAUAAUCCAUUAGAUUAAUUUUUACCUGGACUUUAUUUAUCUCUACUUGCACCUCACUUUGGGAUGGUACACUCUUCUUUAAUGUAUGUCCCAUAGAAAAGUCUUAAUGGUGCAGUUUAUACGAUGCAACAUCCGGGCCGAAGCGUCGUACCCUAGACACAGAAUCGCCUUCAUUGUGAAUAACAGGGUCCCAUUGUACCAAAGUCCUUUUGUAUACCUACGUGCCCUUAGUAUUACUCUGUGCAACGGCUUCCACCUUAACCUAACAAGGAUCCAAAAAGUACACAGCCUACAUAUGACCCCAAACAAAUUUUUACCCAGUACCUAGGUAAAAGCAACCUAGCAAAAGAAUAUCCAGGUUCAUCAUACAAAGCUAGGUGUCAGAUACCCCUGGUAAGAUGACACAAUAAAAUAGUGAAGAACUUUAAGACCCAACCGUCUGAAGUACCAGUGUGGGACCUCCAAAAAUUGAGGUCGUAUAUUUUAUCAUUAAAUUGCAUAAUAUUUAUAGAAAUUUUUUUAUAAGCCACUGACAAUGCCAAAAAAUGUAUCUAUUUUUUUUUACAGUGUAUAUGGUUUGGAUCAUUUGAUCUCACGCCAGGAUAUCUACAGGGAUGGAGGACAAGGAGGAGAAGCGGGGGGAGAAAUACGGCGUGGCUAAUUAUGUAAAUUGCGAUUGGACUAAAUUAAUUGGCUCUUGGUAUAAUUGAAGGUACCUGCUGUUUGAUCGAUAGGGAGUCGGUACCCUAAGAGAAUUUCUCCACUCCCUGGAAUGUCAAAAUUCAUGAACGUUAUCAUUCCUCGUCGUUAUGUUAUCUAUUUUUUAUUAAAUAUAAGUCAUUUGUCAUAAAUUUAUAUCAAUCAAGCAAGAUUAAUAUACUGUAUAACAUGCGUUAUCGUUCUUGUCAAUGGGUUAUGGUGACUGUCUUAAUUGUAUCGAUGAUCCUUUUCUUCUUUAAUUGUUAAGAUCUUUUUUUUUCAAAAACUUUUUUAACGCAGAAGCAACCACUGUCUUCUUACUUCGCGCUCUUGGAUCACGAUCGGUAACGCAAGUGUAGGUAACCGCAUGACGAUAAUGACUGUUAUUUUAUCGUGAACGGUAAUGCUCUCGCUUAAAGUCGCUCUACUUAUACGCAUUAUCCUGGUAAAACUACGGGCCCGUCUUCGAGCAAUCAUUUUCAAGCGUCAUUACGAAAUUGCUUUGGCAAAUGAAAUGCGAGGGUUGGCUGCACUGCACUUAUAGUGAGAUUUAUUGGAAAUCAAAGAUAUUUCCAUUUACACGCAUCGUCAUACAUAUAUAUAAAUUUACGAAGUAAUAUCGAAAGCCA